CCGGCGCACGGGUGAGUAACACGUAUCCAACCUGCCGUCUACUCUUGGACAGCCUUCUGAAAGGAAGAUUAAUACAAGAUGGCAUCAUGAGUCCGCAUGUUCACAUGAUUAAAGGUAUUCCGGUAGACGAUGGGGAUGCGUUCCAUUAGAUAGUAGGCGGGGUAACGGGCCCACCUAGUCUUCGAUGGAUAGGGGUUCUGAGAGGAAGGUCCCCCACAUUGGAACUGAGACACGGUCCAAACUCCUACGGAGGCAGCAUG
rnacentral:rRNA from 1 species